rnacentral:rRNA from 1 species
GAUGAACGCUGGCGGCGUGCCUAAUACAUGCAAGUCGAGCGAACGGACGAGAAGCUUGCUUCUCUGAUGUUAGCGGCGGACGGGUGAGUAACACGUGGAUAACCUACCUAUAAGACUGGGAUAACUUCGGGAAACCGGAGCUAAUACCGGAUAAUCUUUUGAACCGCAUGGUUCAAAAGUGAAAGACGGUCUUGCUGUCACUUAUAGAUGGAUCCGCGCUGCAUUAGCUAGUUGGUAAGGUAACGGCUUACCAAGGCAACGAUGCAUAUCCGACCUGAGAGAGGGGUAGGCCACACGGGAGCGGGGACACGGUCCAGACUCCUACGGGAGGCAGCAGUAGGGAAUCUUCCGCAGUAGUCGAAAACCUUACAGAGCAACGCCACGUGAGUGAUGAAGGUCUUCGGAGCGUAAAACUCUGUUAUUAGGGGAAAACAUAUGUGUAAGUAACUGUGCACAUCUUGACGGUACCUAAUCAGAAAGCCACGGCUAACUACGUG